ACCACCCGUUUCUUUAUCUCCAUUCUAUUUCUACUCCUUUCUCUAUAUCUCUUUAUUUUCUCAUGAUUUCUAUUAAGCCAAACAAAGUUUAAGUAAAGAUGGUGUGAAAAUUUAUUUAGUAAAAUUUUGUUAAGUUUUAUAGACGAUUUAGCUUUAUUUACUGGAUCAAUUUCAGUAAAAUUUCUAGUGUUUCCCCAUUUAUUGAGAUUAUAGUGUUUGUAGAAAUGUCUCAGUGACGUUUGAGCUCAAAGGUACAUGUUCUUGCAGUGACUUUGUUCAAUUAUUUCCACAUCAGAAAGUAUAAUUACAUUCUCCAUUUUCUGCAAAUUAUUCGGGGAAAGGUUGCAAGAGGAGAAUAAAUUGCAGUGAUACUUCCAAUAAUGAAGAUUAGAGCCAAGGUUUAGAGGAGUAUAAUACUGAUACUUAAUUUCAUGGGAAAGAAAGUUUUGUAAAUGUUGUUUAGUUUUUAUGUGCUCUUACAAAAAUAUUUAGAAUUCUGAUAAGAACUGCUAUUUGAGAACCUUGUAAAACUGUAAGAUCUGAGUGUGGAAUACUGAGUAUAAUGUGAUAGUCUCUGCUUUAUUUCUUUU